rnacentral:lncRNA from 1 species
CAGAUAACCCGACCCGACCCCUUUCCUCUGCACGAAAGAAAACCCAGCGAGCGUCCCUUUCACAUGACAAUGCAACAAGCUUCACAGAGAAACGACGAAGUAGAAGGCGUGUCUAGUACAACCUUCGUCGUCUUCUUCGAUGUCCAUUUCGACCCGUACUAGUGCAUUAGCGAAUAGCGCUAGAAGAGGCACAUAGAUUUGUCCUUGAUAUAGAGAGAUGAGUCCACGUCAAGUGUCAAAGACAAUCAACCGAUCUGAAGCGUUCUUUCCCCUUUUCCGUUUCGGAUUGAAUUAAGAGCUUC